rnacentral:lncRNA from 1 species
UUAGCCAGUUUCUUUGAUUCUUUGAAAAGUUGUUGAUAUGCCUCUGCGAGAUCUUCCUCGUCUGACUCCUCGAUGCUUCCAUUACCAUCGCUCAAUGUUUCAUGCAAAACCAAUGAAGCGGAGUCAGGUACAAUAAAAGAUAAACAAACAACAAAAAUGAAGGUAAAGAUGUAUUUGUAAAUAAAGCAAUAGCGUCAUUCCUUUCUUCGUCACUUGAGAUCGAUUCACUAGAAGUAAAAUCAUCCCAUGUUUUAGCUUGCAAAGCCUUCUUUUUGUACAAUUUCUUAUUAGGACAAUCCGUAAAAACAUGACCAUAGCCUUUACAUUUGUAACAUUGGAUUUUUCCUUCGAAAUCAUCUUUUUCUUUAAAAAGCUUUUAAAGUUUUUUGUCUUUUGAGUUUGAGCUUGAAGAUAUUUUAGAAAAGAUUUAUGUUUUGAGGAUGAGGCUUUGUUGGCUUUGUUCUUCCGGAAGUUCCGACGAAAUUUCUUCGUUAGGAGCGCCAGUUGAUGUUCAAAGUCGGCAAGCGAAAUGUCUCCGUCGGAAUCCGAGUCAUCGUCUUCCUCCUUUGUAGAUUUGAGUGCAACCCCUGUACUUUUAGAAGAAGACUUGACAGAAGAUUGAUUAGUAGGAAAAGUCAUUUCAUAUGUUUUUAAAGCACUUACUAAUUCCUCAAUUUUCAUUUCAUCCGAAUGUUUAAUGGUUUCAAUUGCCGCAACCUUCAGACGAAAUCUCUCGGGAAGCGUUCUCAAGAUUUUUCUUACAACUUUAGGUUCUGAAAUUUUCUCUCCCAAGUUCGCGCAUGUAUUAACUAUGUCUUGAAGUCGAGUAUAGUACUCGGUAAAAUCUCAUAUUCCUCCAUACAAAUUGAAACAAAUUUACUUAUUAACAUUUGUAAUUUUUGACCCUUUACCAAGCUAGUUCCUUCAUGCGUAACUUGAAGAGUAUCGCAAAUUUCCUUUGCCGUUUCACAGGCCGAGACGCGUGAAAACUCGGUUUGAGACAAAGCGUUAAAUAAAGCAUUAAUUCCCCUACCGUUGUAAGACGAUAAAUCUUUCUCUUCCUUACUUCAUUUAUCAUGAGGUUUUGGCUUUUCAAUAUUCUCAACUUUUUCAGUAGGAUGUUUCCAUCCAAAUUCAAUGGAUUGCCAAACCCGAUCGUCAACGGCUAUUAGAAAGGCACUCAUGCGAAUCUUCCAAUAGGCGUAAUUAGUCCCAUCAAAUAACGAGGACCUAUUAAUGUUACCGCCUUCACCUAUAAUGAAAGAUAAAUCUAAAUCUCGCUCUGAUACCACUUGUAGGUUAUGGGAACCCUAGGAUCUAUCUAUAUACUCUCAAACACCUAGAAAGGGGUGAAUAGGUGAAUAAGCCAAAAACACAAAUCUCAAUACGAUAAAAGUAAAUGCGGAAAAUAAAAUAGCAUACCAAGAUUUACGUGGGAAAGUUCCAAUUUGGAGAAAAACUCACAGGACCAACACGCGAAAAACAAUCUACUUAAAGAAAAAGAUUACAAGGUGAUUACCGACUCCACAGACUCGACCUCUCUUUUACCUCCUACGGAUCUCGCGCACGUCACUUGGUUGUCCAUGCCCCACGUCCGAAUCCACGGACGUCACGCCUCACGUCCGAAUCUACGGACACCACUCGAAUCCUCGAGCACUCACGGUCCGAAUCCACGAGUCGCCUUGAUCACGCCGAAUCCACGACACCGCACAUGAAGAGUAAAUUCAUAUUUCUAUGGUGAUCCUUUGCUUAGAGUGUCGUUGAAGAACGAGAGAAAAAUCUCUAAGCAAAACUUAGAUCAAUUCGACAUACAUAUAUUGAAUUCCAAUAUCUCGAAUUGACCUAAAGAGGCUAUUUGGUGGAAAAUGGUUUAGAACGAAAAACAUAGCCUCUAGGGUUACUCUCUUAUGUAUUCUGAGUGCUUCUUCGUCAGAGAAAACCCUUACCUUCGUAUUUAUAGACUUUACAAUCAAUUAGAGUCAUUAGAAAAUUUAUACAUUGAGUAUCGAUACUCGGAAGUGGGUACCGGUACGCUAUGACGCAACAGAAACUUCUUAAUGCUGAAUACCGGUACUUGGCCAAUGCAGUACCGGUACUCGACCGAUGCAAUACCGGUACUAAAUCCUGGUACCGGUAUACAAUACAACUCGCAGAAUUAUUGCUCUCGGGUUCUGAGGAACUCAAUAUUAGGUAUCAGUACUCAAUAUAAAAUAUUAGGUUUUUCAACCCGGUUUUGAAGAACUCGAACUUGGUACCGGUACUCAAUAUAAAAUAUUGUUACAUACAAUUUAAAAGUUCCAAAAACCACUUCUAAUUCAUUGAUCAUUACUUAUAUAAUUCUAAUGCCAUAAAUCAAUAUGAAUCACCAUAAAAAAAUUUAAAUCAUACCUGAGCAUCGUGAUUCAACUUGUGAGAUGUUUUCGAGUUCUUCUCGGAAUCUUGGAUUCUUCAACCUUCGACAACACAAACCGAACCCUUCAAGACUCCGACUCAAAUUUUGAAUCUUACCAAUACAAAAUCUCUAACACUAUUAGUAGAGUAAGAAACCGUUAUUAUAAUGAUAAAUCUAGAUCCGUGAGAAGAAAACACAGUACUGUAAGAUCAUAUAUGAACAAUGGAAUUAUCAGUGUAAAUUAUAUUAAAUCUACUGAUAAUUUGGCAGAUCCAUUAACCAAGGCCUUGGGAAGAGAAAGGAUCUAGAGCACAUCGAGAGGGAUAGAGUUGAAGCCCAUAAUAUCAUGAACCAUGUAUGAGGAUGCUCAACCCGAUGAUCAGGGAUCCUGAAAAUUGGGUUCAAUGGAAAAAACGAAUUAUAUAGUGGUCGUAAAGAAUGCACAAUAUAUAAAUAUAUGUGAUCGUAUCUUUACCUAUCCCUAUAGUGUGGGUGCAUUCAUCCUGUAAUUAUAAAAAAGGGUUGAGGUUUUGCUCUUAAUGAAAUUUGUGACUCUUAUGAGCAGGGUAUCAGAAUUACAGAAGCACCCUUGACGGAUUUCAUCUAUGUGAACAUGAAAGUGAGGCCGUUUCCUAUGAGAAUGUGCUUAUUCUCAAAUAUGCUCAUGAAAAUCAAAAUCAGCUAGCACAAGGCAGUAAUGUGCUAGCUAGUACAGCUCAUGUCAACACCUGGAUUGUUAUAUGUAAGCAAAUACUCUCUAUUUCCCCUAAGCCGCCCCCGUGCCACCUUUUUUUUAAAAUUUUUUUUUGGCUUUUGUUUUUUUUUUUUGCUUUUGCUUUUGCUUUUUUUUUUCUCUUUGGCUCUAUUUUUGUUGUGGGCAUCUAUCACAUGCCCAGUUUUCUUUUUUUUUUUGUCUUUUUCUUUAGCAUUUGGUUGAUUAGUUUGGUGUGGCCCAUAGUCACAUGCACACAGGUCAAAGCAAAUUUUUUUUUUUUUGUCUUUUUCUUUGCCAUUUGAUUAAUUGGGUUGCUGUGGACAUCAUAUCACAUGCCCACCGUGUAAUUUACUUUUGUCGUCUUUUUGUUUGGCCUUUGGGUAACUCAAAGGCCGGCCUUUGAUAACCCAAAGGCCAAACAACUAUAAUGCAAAGGCUCCGAGUGUGAGAUUAUAAAUUCAUGCAAACCCGCCUCCAAACCUCUGCACGAAUCUUUCUUUCCUUCGUAUUCUUUCUUCCCCUUUCUUUCUUUUGCCAGUGCUUAGCAACCUUAGCUAUCUUCUCCUCUCUUUUUUUUUUCUUUUCAGUUCUUACAUAUCUUCCUAAAAUUAUUUGUCCUCUUUCUUUCGUCGCUUGAAAAGAAGUCGCUUGAAAAGAAGGCAAGAACAUCUCAUAUCGCAGAUUUGCUUAUUAGGUAAGUCAAAAAAAAUUAUAAUUUAAAUUUUUUAUUUAUAAAUAUAGCGGCUAAUUUUUAAUUGACAUAUCUGAUCCAACACAGACAUCCACUUUCUUUGAGCAAAUUAUUUUAUCAAAAUUUCUCGCACUGUGAAGCGUUCGGCGAAUCAGGGUAAACAACAUCAAUUAUAAUUUCUUUUUUUGCAUCAUAAGAUAUAAAAUAUUGAUAAAAUUAAAAGCCAAAUGAAAUCAAUUGAUAUUUAAGUUUAUUUAAUUUAUUUGUCAUUUCGUUUUAUCUGUUAUAAUAUUCUAUAAUUUUAUCUGUUAUAAUUUUUUCAAACUUAUCAAAAAAUAAAAAUAAAAACAAAAGAAUUUUCAAAUUUGGUACUUAGUAGAUAUGAUACUUUUUUCAUCAUAUCGUUCUUUUUCUUAUUUUUCUGGAAUAGAUUUUAUUUUAUUUGUUUGUAUGUCAAUAAUUAUAGAUCAUAAUGGCACCUAAACGAUUAGAAGAUUAUGGUUGGCAACAUGGACAAAUGAUUGAUACGAAUAGGUUUCAUUGAAAGUGCAAUUAUUGUAAUAUGGUCGGAAUGGGCAGAGGUGUCACUCGCCUAAAGAAACAUAUUGCUGGGGGUUUUUCUUAAGUAUCAAACUGCCCUAAAGUCCCUCAGAAAAUAAGUCAUGCAAUGAAAAUUGAGUUAGAAUCUUCAAAAUUAGCAAAAAAGAAAGUAAGAGAUGAUCGAGAUGAUCUAGAUAAACGAGCGGCAGAAUAUCCCCCUAUUGACCCAUAUGAAGGUAUAGGUGAUGAAUUAGAUGCUGAUACUAGAGCUGCCAUGGAAGCAUCUGCACAAGAAAGAUGGCAGCAAGAUGAAGUCCAACGACAUAGAGCACAAUUUGGACGGUCUCAGUUUGAUGCCGGUGGUGGGUCUGGGUCUGGGUCUGCACAAUCUGGUUUAGCUCGCAGUGGUUCUGUUAGCCGUUUGUUCGACAGAUUUAAAAAAGGACCAAAAGAAAAAAGUGGAAGACAUCCAAAUAUUAUAGAUAUAGACCCAAUGGCCAUUCCACACUCAGAUGCUCAACAGCAACGUAUAGAUACAAUGUUAAAAAAAGAUAAAAAAGGUAGAAUUGGUAGAGCUAUAGCAAAGUUUUUUCACUUUAGUCAUAUUCCUUCCCAUGCAGCAAGUACUCCAUAUUAUAAAUCAAUGAUUGCUACCAUACAAAAAGAGGGUCAAGGAGUUGAACCUCCAACACCGUAUGAGCUCUCUAACAAAUAUCUUGACGCCGAGGUCAAUGAUAUUCAUGAAUGGGUAAAAAACUUAAAACAACUGUGGGAGAUGUAUGGUGUGACAUUGAUGUGUGAUAGUUGGACAGGACCAACAAAAAUGAGCAUUAUAAAUUUUUUAAUUUAUUGUAAUGGCAAGGUGAUAUUUCACAAAUCAAUCGAUGCAACCGGUCGAUUUGAAGAUGCUGACUAUAUAUAUGCAUUAUUGGAACAAGUUUUACGUGAGGUUGGUGAGAAAUGUGUGGUACAAGUUAUAUCGGACAAUGGUGCAAAUUUUAAGAAAGCUGACAAACUAUUAAUGCAAAGGCAUCCCCAUUUAUUUUGGACUCCUUGUGCAGCGCAUUGCAUCAACCUAAUGAUGUCUGACUUUGGUGAGAUAAAUCGGGUGAAAAAAACUGUACAUACUGCACAACGUAUAUCUAAAUACUUGUAUAAUCAUCUUUGGGUCCAUGCUUUAAUGGUGAAAUUCACAGGACGAGAACUCGUACGUCCUGGUAUUACACGAUUUGCAACAAAUUUUAUUGCUCUAACAGUAUCCUUCAAAAUAAAAAUGGAUUAAAGUCCAUGUUUGCAUCAGAUGAAUGGCAAACAUCUCGUUAUGCCUCCACGGCUGAUGGAAAAUCGAUUGAGCAAAUAAUUAUGUCUACCAAGUUUUCGGAUUAUGUGAAAGAGAUUGUUGAUAUUGUGGAGCCGCUAUAUGUGGUCCUCCGUUUAGUGGAUCAGAAAAAAAUACCUCAAAUGGGACAUGUUUAUUAUAAACUGAGGAUGGCUAAAGAUAAUAUUAAAAAAAAUAAUCCACUACGGUGCCAAUCUUUUCUAAAAAUUAUUGACAGACGUUGGGACGUCCAGAUGAGCUGGGAUCUACACUUAGCAAGUAAGUUAGAUAAAUUAUAACAAAAUUAUUUAUUACUGAUUGUUCAUUAGUAGUCUUGUAUUGAUGAUGAAGUGAUUUCUUUCUUAAUGAUAGGUUAUUAUCUUAAUCCGUCAUACCAUCAUCGUUAUAAUCUUGGAUUUGAUGAUGAACUGUUGAAGGCAUUACGAAACAUUAUCAAUAGAUUGGAGAGGGAUCCAACACAUGCUGCUCUUGCCAUAAGUGAGGUAUAAUAUUUUUUCAAUAUAUUAUUAGUUUGCUAGAUGUUAAUAUGCUGAUUUCUGAUUAUUAUACUACCAUAAUAAAGGGAAAAAUAUUUCGUGAAUCCUCUGGAACUUUUGGUGAAGCGGGUGCAAUUAACGGAAGACACAAUACCGAUCCCAGUAAGUAACUUCAUAAUUUGGACAGUUUACAGCUGAUGAUAAAUCUUAUUUGAUAUAUUUUUAACUUUUAAUUGUACAGCUGAGUGGUGGCUACAAUAUGGUGGAUCGGCAAAGCACUUAAAAAAGAUUGUUGUGCGUGUCUUAUCACAAACAACAACGUCUAGUGGAUGUGAACGCAACUGGAGCACGUUCGCACUUAUACAUACCAAAGUGCGUAACCGAUUAGCGUACGCUCGAUUAGAGAACCUAAUUUAUGUCCACUAUAAUAUGAGGCUCCGUUUAAGAUGCAUACAAGAGGAGUAUGAUAAGGAAAAGGUAUUAAAAACUUAUGAUUCCUUGGAUGCAAGUUUUAUCAAUGAUGAAUCAGACCCCGUACUUGAUUGGCUACAAGAUAGAGACAAUCAAGAAGACCCAUUACUCGAUGAGCCUGGAGAUCCACCACGACCAUUCAGAAUAAUUGCUGAUGAAGCAGGAAUUAGUGAUGCUGAAAGAUGGGCUGACGAGAACAUAGGAAGCUCUCAAGGUAAUGUGCAAGAACAAGCGGCUUUGGACGAAGAAUCCCAAAAUCCUGGACGUGACUCUGAUGCGGAAUUCGAACGUCUUAUGCAAGGACCUGGAUAUGGUCGUUCACGUCGUACUCAGAGUCAAUCUGGAAAGGAGAAAACGUUUUAUACUGCAAAAAGGCCUUCAACGACAGUCCGAAGUGGUAAGAGUAAAAAAAAUAUGACAUCGAUGGAUCCAUUAGAUGCAGCUGAUGCACUCCCACAAGAUAAUGAUAGUGAUACAUCGACACCAGCAGAUUCUGGAUUACCACAGUCUAAAGAUGAAUGUAGUGAUGAUGAUGAUACCACUAAUAGCAGUGAGGAUGGUGGCGACUUCAUUCCACCAACACAACAGGAGAGUGGAGGUGGUGGUGGCCUUAUAUUUACUGAAGAGCAAAACUUCACACAUGCCACUCAAGAUGCUGAUCAUGGGUCUCGACCACGUCAAACAUCCGGAAUGGUAUAUGACCGUCGAAAAGGUAGGAGGUCCUCACAACAAGAUUAUGGGGAGAUGAGAGAAGGUUUGGAGGCAAUAUCAACUAGACCUCCACGAAGGGAUGAUACUUUGCAAACACAGUUUGAUAGUACUUCAAUAUCAUCGCAUCCCUCAUAUCGACAUGGUCUAUAUGGAGAGAUAUUUGAUUAUGAUUCAUCAAUUUAUGGCACUCAGAGUGAAUCCCAAUCCAUCCCUGGACAUAGUGAAAGCUCAUACGGCGAAUCUACAUCCACUCAUGCAUAUCCACAUUAUGGUUCUUCUUUUCCAUACAAUCCAUAUCCUUAUGAUGCUUCAGUUUAUAUGCCGCAGAUGACUGUUGUCCAUUAUAUCCACGAUCCAGUUGCAUAUGCAAAUUAUCUCCGACAAUACAAUGACCUAUAUCGGGAAUAUAUGACUUUCUCACAAUACCAGCAAUACUUAUAUCAACAUUGUCAUAUAAAUCUUGUACCUGCAACUGACAAUAUGACAUAUGAUCAAGCGCGACAAUCUAUGUGGAAUUAAGCAGUCAUCUCUAUGUAAAGAUGUAAAUUUAAAUAAUUAUUAUACUUGUAAAUUUUAUUAUUGUAUUUUAAUUUUUAUUCUACAUAAGGUAUAAUUGUAUUUUACUUACAAAAAACUUACAUGCAUGUUAAUUGAUGAGUAUAAUAAGGUAUAUAUAGCAAAUAUAAAUAAUUAUUUAUUUAAAUCUUUCAAAAUAAUAUUAUAAGAGUUUAUUGGAAUCAAAAAAACUGAAAAAAAUCUGUGCCAAAAAGUGCCAGUAGGAGGUCGUGCGUAUCUGUCGGCACGCAAGCGUGCCACGUGCAUGCCGUACCGUGCCAGGGCUGUAACGGCACGCCCCCAUGCCACGGCAACCUUGAUGUAGAGCACACCUUCAUUAUGUAUAACGGUACCUCUUUGGCCAUCAAACUCUCAUAUAUUUUAAUAAUAAAAAUGAGUGGGGGAAUAUUGUAACAUUUUUAUUAUUAAAUACGAAUAUUUAAUUUUUGAUAACUUUUGCAUUUAUAAAGGAAUGCAAGUUACUCUCUUUAAUAACUAUAACUUACUUUGCUUUGCUUUGAUUGAACCCUAACCUAUGCUUUCGUAAACUCCAAUGCACUAUGAGCUUUAACUAAAUGUCAUGAAACCUAUGGUUUUAAUUCUUGUAACUCCUAUCCUAUGAGCCUAUAUAUAGAAGGCCUUUUCUAUGCACUUCAACACAAAAUACAACAACAAAAAAAAAAAAACUAUUUCCAUACUACAUGUGAGAAAGAGAAGACCAAAGAAAGGUGUUUCUUUCGGUGGAGUUUUGAGCUCAUCUACUUGUGUAGAGUUGGUGAAGCCACACGACGAGGGUUGAGCCGUUAUAUUCUGGAGGGGACAAGUCAGUGUUUUGCUGCAUUGGUUCAAAGGCUUUGCCAACAGUAGAAGACUUGAAUCUCCUUAAAAAGAGCGAGAUUUCCGUGCCUCGGCUUGAUAGACUCGUCGGCACUUUUUAUAUUAUUUUGUAGCUAACCUCUAUUUUUUGAAUAUAUGCACCAACAUAACGUGCCAAAUAGAGGUUCUAGAGCAGUAAACAACAUUCAUGUAAAGCUGUACCUCAACUUGAAGAGCAUCAUUUAACUCGUUCUCUCUUUCAGCUAAGUUCGAACAUAAAAAGAGAAAUAUGAGAUUAAAGCGAUUUGGACAGAUGAUAAGAAGAAGAAAAAAGAGGACUCGUUAACUCCAAAAGUGAAAUAUGAAAUGGAACAAAAAUCCACAUAGAUCCAAUAAAUCCUAAAAUAUCUAGCCAAGGAUCACCAAGUCCAUAAUUGCAGUAAAAAUUCUUGCUAGCUAUAAGGUUCUAUCACUUGGCAUACUCAUUAAAAGAAGAUAGGUGCUGGUGCUUUGUAAUUCUAGUAUAGCAAGAAUUUCUAUAUUACUCUAUCUCCAUAAUUAACACAAAUGGUGCAAAAGAGCUUCCAACAGGAGCUACAAUAAGUAAUUGCAUAUGGUGUUGGAACUUGAUGAAGGUAAACUACAUACUCCAAAAAAUCUAUGUGGAUUACAAGGUGUUCACCUCAGAAAAGUUCCCACUUCAACAGUGAUGAGGCUAAGCCUUUAAAUUAAUACCUCGCAGACCAAAGUUUGCCAAUCGACAUGAUUUACACAUCCCCAUCUCUAUGAACUUAUUAAACUGGGUUUCAUAACAUAAAUUACUCACUUUUGAUACCUAAGACCUUAGAUAUCACUGGCACCUAUAGUAAACCAUCUCAGCUUCUUCAAAACUACAAAAAAAUAAAACCUUGGUAAAACAUAAGCAAUGUUACUGGCCCAUCUAUACAACUAUACUCAAGCUCCUAACUCUCAAUUUUUCACCAAAAAAACUUACAUUUUAUUUCCGACUCAUCUCAAACAGAUGCAAUGGAAGUGAAAACCUAACAAAACAAAAAAAAUUCAACAACUUGCACAUAAAAUUGACCAAAAAUCGAACAUUUCGUAUGAAAAAGUUUAAGAAUGGCAAAAGAAUCAAACAAUUUGCACAUAAAAUCAAUCCAAAAAUCAAAUUGUUACUAAGAAAAAGCUUAAGAAUGGGAUGAAACGAAUACUUACAGAUAUCAAAAUUAGGCUCCUUGUAGAAGAUAUCAGGAAACUCCUCCCUCAGAGUCCGAAUCGCGUAUCCCAAAUUAACAUAAUAAUCCUGCUUAUCGUCUUCCGCUUCUCUCUGUUGGUCCCUCAAAGAGGGAGAAGAGGAUGGAGAGGAGGAGGACCAUUCCCGAAGAAGCGACCCUGAGAAGAGGGUGCCGAGCCACAGCAGCUCCCAAAUCGGGUUGGAAACCCUAAUCAACCGCCCUUUCUCGAGGUGGUGUGGGGAAGGGGAGGGGGACAAUGGGGGCGGACCUGAGAGGGAGUGAAAGGGGAGCGAGGCCACCUAAGCGGGGAGCGGUGAGGCACCUGAGCAGGAGUAGAGGCGGGGGCGGGACAAGCUACAGCCCGAGAACAGGGGUAGAGUGGCCUCCGCCGAGUUGGGGGGUGGGGUCGAAGGCAGCUGCCAACUGGGGGAAGAGGGCGGGAGG